rnacentral:rRNA from 1 species
UACGUAGGUGACAAGCGUUGUCCGGAUUUAUUGGGCGUAAAGCGAGCGCAGGCGGUCUUUUAAGUCUGAUGUGAAAGCCCACGGCUCAACCGUGGAUGGUCAUUGGAAGCUGGGAGACUUGAAUGCAGAAGAGGAAAAUGGAAUUCCAUGUGUAGCGGUGAAAUGCGUAGAUAUAUGGAGGAACACCAGUGGCGAAGGCGGCUUUCUGGUCUGUAAUUGACGCUGAGGCUCGAAAACGUGGGGAGCAAACAGG